AUAUAGUUAGGGAGGCGAAUAGGGGAAUUUUCGGCAAUACUCGAGCGUGGCAGUUUAAGAUAUGAGAGAUACCUUAGACCUAAUAGAACAACCUUGUAAAGUAUUUAGCUCUAUAUGUAGUGACGCGCGCCUAGGAUAGACGAUCAGAUUAGUAAAAAAAAGCGGCCAAUCUGAAAUACUCGAGCGCGUCAGAUUAAGAUAUUGGGGGUUGAUUUUAGUGUUUAAAGACUAAAUUUAACUAAUCUGACGAUAAGUCCUUGACGCCGCCGAGUUAUAGGGUCGCGAACUUGUAAAAAAAAAACUUUAAUCCGGCAUUCUCGAGCGCGAUUUUUUUAUUUUUUAUUUUGAAAAAUAUAAUCUAAAACUUGCUAAAAAUACAAAAUCUGCCGGUUUCCGCAUGACCGGAAGUGUGGAGGAGCCAUUUCGUCUUCCUAAGAACGCGUUGCGGCAUAUAAGUCGCGAACGAUACAUUUUACAAAAAAAAAGUUUAAAUAAACAAAAAAGGUAAUUUUAUUUUACACAAAAAAAGGUCUCUUUACAU